UGUACGCCCAAGCCGCCCUGGAUGGAGACUCCCAGGGAUUUUUUAACCUGGCCCUGCUAAUCGAGGAAGGUACGAUAAUCCCACACCAUAUCUUGGAUUUCUUGGAAAUUGACUCAACUCUCCAUUCUAAUAACAUCUCCAUUCUCCAGGAACUGUACGAAAGGUGCUGGAGCCACAGUAACGAGGAGUCCUUCAGCCCCUGCUCCUUGGCCUGGCUUUACCUGCACUUGCGGCUUCUCUGGGGUGCUAUCCUGCACUCAGCCCUGAUCUACUUUCUGGGAACCUUUCUGCUAUCCAUAUUGAUCGCCUGGACUGUGCAGUAUUUCCAGUCUGUCUCAGAAUUCUGCCUCUGUGUGCCUGAAAACACAGCGCCAAAGCUCCUGGCAGCAUGAAGUCUUCCCUUUCAUUUCAGUCAAGCAAUCAGAUGUGUAAGAGGAUAAACAAACACUCGUAAUGAAUAAAAAUCCUCGGCCACACGGACUCAGAGGGAGGGACUGAGCAGGAAUCGUAAAGUGGGCAUUUAGCUGAGCAUGGUUUCCACUAAUCAUUGUUAUUUUUCUGAGCCAGUAUAGAAUAGUUAAGGACAAGGGAGCCCUGCUUGCUUCUGUUUGGGCUUAGAGUCCAGGCUUGGCUACUCAUUAGCUGUAUGACUCAUGGCAAGUUAUUUAACCUUCCUGAUCCCCAAAUUUCUCAUCAAUACAAUGAGGUUAUGAGAGUAGCUACUUCCUAGGAACAUAAAAUGAAAAAAAUAUUAAGUGAAAAAAAAUGCACGUAAGAUACUUACCAAAAUGACGGCUGUAGUUAAACGUUAGCUGUUAUAUUUAUCUGGCAUAUAAAACCUUCUCAAUAAAUGUUAGCUCUUACAUUUACUCCUCUAUUAGACCAUAAGCUGAGUAAGAGGAAGGCCCCAGUCGUGUCAUUUGUGAUAACUCAUGCAUAGUAGGUACUCACACCCACAGACGACUCCGGUCUCUCAAGAGACAAGAAAACUGAUUUUUUACCAUCUCGGACGGCUACAAAAGGGUAUAAUAACUCAUGAAGGCAAACAGAGACAUUUACAAAUGGGUAGAUUAGGACUGGACAUGGCAUUGGAGCAUUUGCGUAGCUGUUAUUUCUGUAGCAGAUAAUGGAAAGUGAAAGGGGUGCACGUCAGCGUCUCUUCCACGGUGAGAAGGAAGUCACUGUUGCAAGAAGCUAAUGCGAAAUCAUUUCUCUCUGAUUUACCUGAGGAGGUUAACAAGGACCCAUCAAAACCUUCCAGGCUUGAUGCCCCAUAGUCUGCUGGUUAAUAAACUUCACUCAUGCAAAUUCUGUCCCAUCCUUAAA
rnacentral:lncRNA from 10 species